UACGGAGGGUGCGAGCGUUGUCCGGAAUCAUUGGGCGUAAAGGGCGCGUAGGCGGCCAGCACAAGUCAGUUGUGAAAUCUCCGAGCUUAACUCGGAAAGGUCAACUGAUACUGUGCGGCUAGAGUGCGGAAGGGGCAACUGGAAUUCUUGGUGUAGCGGUGAAAUGCGUAGAUAUCAAGAGGAACACCUGCGGCGAAGGCGGGUUGCUGGGCCGACACUGACGCUGAGGCGCGAAAGCCAGGGGAGCGAACGGG
rnacentral:rRNA from 1 species